UUGACCUCGAAUCAGGUAGGGAUACCCGCUGAACUUAAGCAUAUCAAUAAGCGGAGGAAAAGAAACCAACCGGGAUUACCCUANUAACGGCGAGUGAAGCGGNAAAA
rnacentral:rRNA from 1 species